rnacentral:rRNA from 1 species
AUUGAACGCUGGCGGUAUGCUUAACACAUGCAAGUCGAACGGUAGCAGGCCUUCGGGCGCUGACGAGUGGCGGACGGGUGAGUAACGCGUAGGAAUCUACCUAGUAGUGGGGGACAACUUAUGGAAACGUAAGCUAAUACCGCAUACGCCCUACGGGGGAAAGCGGGGGAUCGCAAGACCUCGCGCUAUUAGAUGAGCCUGCGUUGGAUUAGCUAGUUGGUGGGGUAAAGGCCUACCAAGGCGACGAUCCAUAGCUGGUCUGAGAGGACGAUCAGCCACACUGGGACUGAGACACGGCCCAGACUCCUACGGGAGGCAGCAGUGGGGAAUAUUGGACAAUGGGCGAAAGCCUGAUCCAGCAAUACCGCGUGUGUGAAGAAGGCCUGAGGGUUGUAAAGCACUUUCAAUAGGAAGGAAUACCUGUCGGUUAAUACCUGGCAGACUGACAUUACCUAUACAAGAAGCACCGGCUAACUCCGUGCCAGCCGCCGCGGUAACAC